CAUAAAUCAUGCCAUACACGACAGACCAAGAAGGCCCUGAAACCCGGGGUGGGCAAGCUUUUCUGCAAAGAACCAGAAUUGGACUCAGUCUCCAAGCUCUGUCUGGAAGCUCAGGGCAUCCAGCAUAGGAUGACGGAGGCCAUUGACACAGAGCAAAAAUCUGCCAGAGAGAUGCUGUACUUCAUCUGACGAUUCUCCAGUUGUAGGCAAACAAGCCCUUCUCACCAGGCCUUGGACAGCGGCUCGUGCCAAUUCUGGCCUCAAAUGCCAGCCAGCUUUGGAAAUUAGACUGGUCUUCUGCAAGCCCUGGCGGGGAGUACGAGCGCUGGUUUGUGAGGUGUGGAAAGCCAAUCUGCUUAUGGCACAAGACUUCCGGAUAACCGCAGCCAAGUGCAGAGAGGGAAAAACAGCCUCCAAGGGACACAGGUUCAAUCCCUGGUCCAGGAAGAUUCCACAUGCCGUGGAGUAACUAAGCCCGCAGGCCACCACUGCCGAGCCCGUGCUCUGCAACAAGAGACGCCACCAAAAUGAGAAGACUGCGCACCAGAAUGGAGGCACAGCACAGCCAAAACUCAAUCAAUAAACAAAUCUUUAAAAAAAAGAAGGGAUAAAGUUCAGCUUUUAAUUGGGUUAAGAUCUCAAAGUCUGGGUCCGUCUAUUUGGUUUAAGUAUGCAUUUAUCACCCAAUGUAUUUAAGGGUCUUUGUUCUGGACUUGCCACCAGGUACAGUGUAAAGCAGUGUUCCCUCAAAUAAAUAUAAUGCCCCAACUGGUAUUUAAAAUGUGGUGCAGCCCCAUUAAGAGGUAAAGGGAUG
ensembl:lncRNA